UACGUAGGUGGCAAGCGUUGUCCGGAUUUACUGGGCGUAAAGCGCGCGCAGGCGGUCGAUCAAGUCGAGUGUGAAAGCCCCCGGCUCAACUGGGGAGGGUCAUUCGAUACUGAUCGACUCGAAGGCAGGAGAGGGUAGUGGAAUUCCCGGUGUAGUGGUGAAAUGCGUAGAUAUCGGGAGGAACACCAGUGGCGAAGGCGACUACCUGGCCUGUUCUUGACGCUGAGGCGCGAAAGCUAGGGGAGCAAACGGGG
rnacentral:rRNA from 1 species